rnacentral:tRNA from 1 species
GGGGUUGUAGCUCAGUGGUAGAGCACUUGCCUUGCAUGCAUGGUCCUGGAUUCGAUCCUCAGCAUCA